UGGGGCAAUAUUGGACAAUGGGCGCAAGCCUGAUCCAGCCAUGCCGCGUGUGUGAAGAAGGCCUUUUGGUUGUAAAGCACUUUAAGCGAGGAGGAGGCUACUUGGAUUAAUACUCUAGGAUAGUGGACGUUACUCGCAGAAUAAGCACCGGCUAACUCUGUG
rnacentral:rRNA from 1 species